rnacentral:rRNA from 2 species
CCCGCCGGACCUGACUGCUAUCGGAUUGAUACUAAGCCAUGCGAGUCUUUGUAGUAAUACAAGGCAGACGGCUCAGUAACACGUAGUCAACCUACCCUAUGGACGAGAAUAAUCUCGGGAAACUGAGCAUAAUUCUCGAUAGAUCAUAAUGCCUGGAAUGGUUUAUGGUUAAAAUGAUUCGUCGCCAUAGGAUGGGACUGUGGCCUAUCAGCUUGUUGGUGAGGUAAUGGCCCACCAAGGCGAUUACAGGUACGGGCUCUGAGAGGAGAAGCCCAGAGAUGGGUACUGAGACACGGACCCAGGCCCUAUGGGGCGCAGCAGGCGAGAAAACUUUGCAAUGUGCGAAAGCACGACAAGGUUAAUCCGAGUGAUUUCUGCUAAAGAAAUCUUUUGUCAGUCAUAAAACCACUGGCGAAUAAGGGGUGGGCAAGUUCUGGUGUCAGCCGCCGCGGUAAAACCAGCACCUCAAGUGGUCAGGAUGAUUAUUGGGCCUAAAGCAUCCGUAGCCGGCUUUGUAAGUUUUCGGUUAAAUCCAUGUGCUCAACACAUGGGCUGCCGAAAAUACUGCAUGGCUAGGGAGUGGGAGAGGUAGACGGUACUCAGUAGGAAGGGGUAAAAUCCUUUGAUCUAUUGAUGACCACCUGUGGCGAAGGCGGUCUACCAGAACACGUUCGACGGUGAGGGAUGAAAGCUGGGGGAGCAAACCGGAUUAGAUACCCGGGUAGUCCCAGCUGUAAACGAUGCAGACUCGAUGAUGCAUUG